CUUUUGUUCGGUUAGGACUUAGUUGAAUUUUCGUGUCGGGGCGAAGCGUCUGCCUCUGUAUUUUCUAAGUGUCAAGUUCUCGUUCAGUGCUUUUCGUUCCAUCAUGUGUGAUCCUGAUUGAAAUAAUACAGUCAGGUGUCUCGUCAGUUAUCUCGUCAGUUUGUGGAAAAGAAAUGCAUCGAAGACCACGCGUGAACAAUCUACGCAGCAAACAAAAACCCGGCUGGACCCACCGACAAUGUGUGUGUACGCGAAACAAUGUGUUCGACGGGAUGCCUCUAUACCGCCACCAACGCAGCAUAGCGCCAGGAAUGCACGAAUAGGUAGGGAAGUGAAACCGUGAAAUAGACGAGUGAGCGAAAGAGACGAAAAAAAAAACCGAAAAUAAACCGAAAAUCGAAACCGAAAACGAACCCCUGCAUUUUUACUUCGGGAACCGACUGGGGAUACGAGAGAAAGAAAGAGGGAGAGGGGACACAUAGAAAAGAGGGAGAGAGACAAGGGGCACGCGCGAGAGAAUUUAAACUGACAGUCGCUCGUUGCGCCAUUUCAAAGUUCGGACAAAGUCGAGAACGAUUUGGCGAAGAAAAUAUACAUAG